GAGUUUGAUCAUGGCUCAGAUUGAACGCUGGCGGUAGGCCUAACACAUGCAAGUCGAACGGCAGCACAGCAGUAGCAAUACUGUGGGUGGCGAGUGGCGGACGGGUGAGGAAUACAUCGGAAUCUACUCUGUCGUGGGGGAUAACGUAGGGAAACUUACGCUAAUACCGCAUACGACCUACGGGUGAAAGUGGGGGACCGCAAGGCCUCACGCGAUUGAAUGAGCCGAUGUCGGAUUAGCUAGUUGGCGGGGUAAAGGCCCACCAAGGCGACGAUCCGUAGCUGGUCUGAGAGGAUGAUCAGCCACACUGGAACUGAGACACGGUCCAGACUCCUACGGGAGGCAGCAGUGAGGAAUAUUGGACAAUGGGCGCAAGCCUGAUCCAGCCAUGCCGCGUGCAGG
rnacentral:rRNA from 1 species